rnacentral:lncRNA from 1 species
UCUCAGACUGGAUACCAGAUAAAAGGCUGAAGUGGAAUAGCUCAGACAGACGGAACGAGUAAAUAAAUGUCUGCAAAAGUUGCUGUCCAUGUGACCCUUCUGUCUUGCUGGAAGGUGACUUUGUGCAUCCACUCAAGUUUGCCUGAGCUUUUGGCCCACUUGCAAGUACUCAGCUUCUUCUGCUUCAUUUGCAAGUUUCUGCAUUUGAGCCUCAAUGAAAUGGCAGCCCCUCUCCUGAGGAGGAAACACAGUACCUACCCCGCACUUGGCCUGGCAGCUCAGUCCAGCUGUGCACCAGCCCAGCAGCACAAAGUCCACGCUCACUCUUCCUAAGCAAGGACCAACGCCUUGGGCCCAAAGCCAAGCUCUUAGCCACAAAUACGGAGAAGAAGCACAGAGGAUAACAAACUCUGCAUUUAAGACCACCCUUGACCCAUGCUUUCACCAGCACCAUCACUCCAGUAUUGAACUGUGGAGGCUUCCAUGCAGAUAAAACUGUAAGGUAAGCCUGGGCACACCCUGCUUUACUGCCCACAGAAAGUGAGCAUCACUGGUGAUCCAAUGUGCAAAGAAUGAGUCCUCUUUUAGUACAUUUUCUUUUUCUUUCUGUCUUUCUUUCUUUUGCCUUCAAAUAUAAAUGGCAGAGGGUGGGAAGAUUUGGAAAUACAGAGGAUCAGCUGUAUUUUUACUAAGUGCUGUGCAUUUUAGGCUUCCCUGUAAAAUAUAAUGAUAGAUUUCUUCAAUAAUAAUUACAGUGGGAAAAAUGCUUCAUCCAAAUUGCAUAAGACCAGCUUUAUCCAGGCAUGUGGUUUUAUAAGAAUUUAAUUGUAGACGAUCUAAAAAAGACCACAAGCUUUUGUUUAGUGAUAAGAAGGGUCAAAAAAUUUAAAGGAAACCCAAACCAUAAACCCCUCUCUGAAGGCUUUUUUCUUCCACCACAGUGCACUAGUGAUUCUCGCUAGAAUCAGCGUGUGGUUCUCUUAUCUUGUGGCAGGAAGAUAGGUCCCUGGGGAAAGCAGUAAGCUGUCUGAGUCUUUGAGUCAAGGGAUGGAAAACAUGGAGGGUGAUUUUCAGAAUAUCUGACCAUAAUCCAUCCUUAAAUGUUCCCAUAGUUCUGUGCAGUUUGAAUUCCCUUAAUUGUGUGAUGGAUUUACAGUUCAACAUUUCAGGUAUAAUUACCUCUAUUAUCGAAAACAAAGGAGACACGUGCCAGUCUGACAGAGUAAAGACGUAGCCUCAAGGAAAUGGAUUAGUUCAUCUUUGUCUCUUCCCCUCACACAUGCACAUGCAGAUAUUUCUGCAUGAAUCCCUGUCUACCUACUUGUCAGUGCAU